GGAGUUGUGCCUGAAAAAGGACUACUUUGAUAGAGUAAGAAUAAGGGUUAAAGCCCCUUCAACUCCU
rnacentral:tRNA from 3 species